UGGGUGAUUUUUGUCCCUCCUGUGGUGACAA
rnacentral:piRNA from 1 species